UACGUAGGGUGCGAGCGUUGUCCGGAAUUAUUGGGCGUAAAGAGCUCGUAGGCGGUGUGUCACGUCGGCCGUGAAAACCUGCAGCUUAACUGUGGGCGUGCGGUCGAUACGGGCAUCACUGGAGUUCGGCAGGGGAGACUGGAAUUCCUGGUGUAGCGGUGAAAUGCGCAGAUAUCGCCUGGAACGCCGACGGUGAAAACAGCUCGCUGGGGGUGUUCUGACGCUGAGACACGAAAGCCAGGGGAGCGAACGGG
rnacentral:rRNA from 1 species